rnacentral:lncRNA from 1 species
CUGUUGAUGAGGAUACACCGAGCCUUGAAAUCAUUGGGCACUGAAGCUCUGUCGUGAUUACUGUAUAGAAGUUGUGCUUACCUUCAUGUUUUUUACUGCUGCCCGUCGCAACUUGUGUGAUGCUGAGUUAGCCGGGAAGACAGCGUCAAACGAGUGUAACCGAGUUUCAAUUUAGCUGCACAAGUGGACGUAAUUUGUAGUUGGUGCGACCUUGACUCCUCAGUUUAAGUCCGCAUUGUGCGCACCCAGUCUGUUCUAUAUCAGAUAGUAGGGAAUGAGUUCACGGACGCAACCUAUAAGGCUGUGAACGUGAUGGAAUGGUUGACUUGUGGGACGGCUGACAUUGGAUGACGGAAUAGUCUCGGACGAACAGGACGAGCACUGUUCCAUGGAGGAACGGUGUGGUAAAAGAAAUCCGAAAACUGCUGCAGAAGUAUCUUCGCAGGGUUGACGACAUGUGGUAUGGAACAGUAGAAUCUGUGCACUGCCCAACACAAAAAUCAGUGAGGACGGCCGUGAACGUCACGGCGGUAAGCUUCUGCUGGCCUCUGGAUUCUCCAUGCUCCGCCGCCACGUACCAGUCUUCCCGGAUGAUCGGAUUCCUCCCGAUGAAGGCGUACAACAGUGUUCGUACUUCAUUUACCUGCUCAAAGAAUCGGUCCCAAUGUAUAGGUCACAGUCAGUUUUCGAUGGAAUCGAAAGCUGUCAACAUGAAACCGCCUUUGCGGGCCAGGCAGGGAUUUGCAUCCUGUGACAGAAGCACGACUACAUGGUUGUGAGCCGCCAGAAAGCUUCCACAAACAGAAUGCCCAUCUGGCUGGAUAUUAUCCGUGAGAGGCGUCAUCCGUGUAUCUCUCUGGCAAGGAACGCAGAAUAUUGACUGGAGUACUGUCUGCCUGCCGUGCAUGCACUGUUGAGUAGGAGCCGCAGGACUGAAGGGGUUAACAGUCACCAGGGAAUACUGCGAAAGCCACGGCUUAUAUUCAGACUGCAAAUGGGUCGAAUGCCUGUCGCACCCGCACUACAAUGUGCGUGACGAUUGGACUACACUGAAAAUAUACCGCCAGUCUGUGUUCUCGUGCCGAGAAUGUCACCGAAAAGGAGGUGGGUUCUUUCCUGCACGUGUCUCAAUAUGUCAGACGGACCUCACCUUCGUCUGUCACGAGCGUCUUGCCUGUGUAACAGAGAGUAAGCACACGCAGCCACGAUACGCCGCUGCGGCAUAUAUUCAGAAUGGAAAUGAUCGAAUGCCUGCCGCAUCCGGCCUGCAAUGGUGGUGCUGAUUGAACUCCACUGAAAAUAUACCACGAGUAAGUGUUCUCAUGGUAUGAAUAUCAUCGAACAGGAAACGGCUUUUUCCUGCAUGCGUCCCGAUAUUUCAGACUCACAUUCCUAUGUCACGUGCGUCUUGCCUAUGUCCAGAGGGUAAGCGCAUGCACCGACAAGACGCCGCUGGGGUGUAGUGGUGUAAACUGGAGCAGAGGCAACAUGGUUCAUGUGGGUUCUCCUGGAGGGCACCAUCACUUUCAUGUCGCAGUCGGAAUACACGGAUGCACCUGAGACUAUACGGAACUGUGUGAGCCUGGACAGAGUGGUUCACGUGAAUUCACAAGGACUUGUUCGUUCAAUAGCUUACCUUCCUUUCAUCUCAUCAAGACAGCAUCACACAGAGCUCCAUAUGUAGUUUCUGGCCGUGAGAGGGAGUCGCAGGUUUUGUCGGUGCAGAUCCUUGUCUCACGGCGUGGUCUUGUGAUCUGGUAAAGAACGGAACAUGCUGACUGAUGUGUCCGGAAAAUACACGUGGACGCGCUUCUACACACUGCGAGGUCGUCAUGUGUAGGUGCGCUGCGAUGGAAUGGCCAGCCAUUGAAAUUGAGAAGCCCUUCUAGAUGUCUGUUGUUGCAUAUGCCUGCUGAGUCACCUACGUCUUGGUGACUCGCACGUGUUGAUGGUUUGUGGUCACCGAGAAAGAUUGGAGAAACAUCCGUCGGUAACAAACAGCUGCAC